AGCAGCCGCGGUAAUUCCAGCUCCAAUAGCGUAUAUUAAAGUUGUUGCAGUUAAAAAGCUCGUAGUUGAAUUUUGGAUUCGGCCAAUUGGUCCAUCUUUUAGAUGAGUACUGGUUGUGUUGGGUCUAUCCGCCUGGUGAUACGUAAUGUCCUUUAUUGGAUGUUGCGGGUAGUCAGGACCUUUACCUUGAAAAAAUUAGAGUGUUUAAAGCAGGCUUAUGCCGGAAUACAUUAGCAUGGAAUAAUAGAAUAGGACGAAGUUGUUUUAUUUUGUUGGUUUCUAGGACAACCGUAAUGAUUAAUAGGGAUAGUUGGGGGCAUUAGUAUUCAAUUGUCAGAGGUGAAAUUCUUGGAUUUAUUGAAGACUAACUACUGCGAAAGCAUUUGCCAAGGAUGUUUUCAUUAAUCAAGAACGAAAGUUAGGGGAUCGAAGACGAUCAGAUACCGUCGUAGUCUUAACCAUAAACU
rnacentral:rRNA from 1 species